rnacentral:rRNA from 1 species
AUUGAACGCUGGCGGCAUGCCUUACACAUGCAAGUCGAACGGCAGCACGGGUGCUUGCACCUGGUGGCGAGUGGCGAACGGGUGAGUAAUACAUCGGAACGUACCUUAUCGUGGGGGAUAACGCAGCGAAAGCUGUGCUAAUACCGCAUACGCCCUGAGGGGGAAAGCGGGGGAUCGAAAGACCUCGCGCGAUUAGAGCGGCCGAUGCCUGAUUAGCUUGUUGGUGGGGUAAAAGCCCACCAAGGCGACGAUCAGUAGCUGGUCUGAGAGGACGAUCAGCCACACGGGGACUGAGACACGGCCCAGACUCCUACGGGAGGCAGCAGUGGGGAAUUUUGGACAAUGGGGGCAACCCUGAUCCAGCAAUGCCGCGUGAGUGAAGAAGGCCUUCGGGUUGUAAAGCUCUUUUGUCAGGGUAGGAACACCGGCUCUAACACAGUCCGGGAAUGACGGUACCUUAUGAAUAAGCACCGGCUAACUCCGUGCCAGCAGCCGCGGUAA